GACGAACGCUGGCGGCGCGCUUAACACAUGCAAGUCGAGCGAUGAAACUUUAACAGAACCCUUCGGGGCGAAGAUAAAGUGGAUUAGCGGCGGACGGGUGAGUAACACGUGAGUAACCUGCCUUAGACAUUGGGAUAGCCUCGGGAAACCGGGAUUAAUACCAAAUAAAAUCAUAAUGACACAUGUCAUAACGAUCAAAACUCCGGUGGUCUAAGAUGGACUCGCGUCCCAUUAGCUAGUUGGUAGAGUAAAAGCCUACCAAGGCGACGAUGGGUAGCCGGCCUGAGAGGGUGAACGGCCACAUUGGAACUGAGAAACGGUCCAAACUCCUACGGGAGGCAGCAGUGGGGAAUAUUGCACAAUGGAGGGAACUCUGAUGCAGCGACGCCGCGUGAACGAAGGAGGCUUUCGAGUCGUAAAGUUCUUUUAUAUGGGAAGAUAAUGACGGUACCAUAAGAAAAAGCCCCGGCUAACUACGUG
rnacentral:rRNA from 1 species